rnacentral:rRNA from 1 species
GAGUUUGAUCCUGGCUCAGGACGAACGCUGGCGGCGUGCUUAACACAUGCAAGUCGAACGGAGCGAAAUGGAAGCUUGCUUCUAUGGAGCUUAGUGGCGAACGGGUGAGUAACGCGUAAUCAACCUGCCCUUCAGAGGGGGACAACAGUUGGAAACGACUGCUAAUACCGCAUACGAUUCAACUUCGGCAUCGAGGAUGAAUGAAAGGUGGCCUCUAUUUAUAAGCUAUCGCUGAAGGAGGGGAUUGCGUCUGAUUAGCUAGUUGGAGGGGUAACGGCCCACCAAGGCGAUGAUCAGUAGCCGGUCUGAGAGGAAGAACGGCCACAUUGGGACUGAGACACGGCCCAGACUCCUACGGGAGGCAGCAGUGGGGAAUCUUCCGCAAUGGACGAAAGUCUGACGGAGCAACGCCGCGUGAGUGAUGACGGCCUUCGGGUUGUAAAGCUCUGUUAAUCGGGACGAAAGGUCCUCUUGUGAAUAAUUAGAGGAAUUGACGGUACCGGAAUAGAAAGCCACGGCUAACUACGUGCCAGCAGCCGCGGUAAUACGUAGGUGGCAAGCGUUGUCCGGAAUUAUUGGGCGUAAAGCGCGCGCAGGCGGAUUAGUCAGUCUGUCUUAAAAGUUCGGGGCUUAACCCCGUGAUGGGAUGGAAACUGCUAAUCUAGAGUAUCGGAGAGGAAAGUGGAAUUCCUAGUGUAGCGGUGAAAUGCGUAGA